rnacentral:rRNA from 1 species
GUGGGUAACCUGCCUUAUAGUGGGGGAUAGCCUUUCGAAAGGAAGAUUAAUACCGCAUAAGAUUGUAGUAUCGCAUGAUAUAGCAAUUAAAGGAGCAAUCCGCUAUAAGAUGGACCCGCGUCGCAUUAGCUAGUUGGUGAGGUGAUGGCUCACCAAGGCGACGAUGCGUAGCCGACCUGAGGGGGUGAUCGGCCACAUUGGGACUGAGACACGGCCCAGACUCCUACGGGAGGCAGCAUG